rnacentral:rRNA from 1 species
UACGUAGGGUGCAAGCGUUGUCCGGAAUUAUUGGGCGUAAAGAGCUCGUAGGCGGUCUGUUGCGUCGGCUGUGAAAACCCGGGGCUCAACUCCGGGCCUGCAGCCGAUACGGGCAGACUAGAGUUCGGCAGGGGAGACUGGAAUUCCUGGUGUAGCAGUGAAAUGCGUAGAUAUCAGGAGGAACACCGAUGGCGAAGGCAGGUCUCUGGGCUGACACUGACGCUCAUGCACGAAAGCGUGGGGAGCAAACAGG